rnacentral:rRNA from 1 species
GGAGGGAGCGAGCGUUGUUCGGAAUCACUGGGCGUAAAGGGCGCGUAGGCGGCCGAGUAAGUCGUGUGUGAAGGACCGGGGCUCAACUCCGUGUACUGCAUGCGAUACUGCUCGGCUAGAGAAAGGUAGAGGCGAGUGGAAUUCCCGGUGUAGCGGUGGAAUGCGUAGAUAUCGGGAAGAACACCUGUGGCGAAGGCGGCUCGCUGGGCCUUUUCUGACGCUGAAGUGCGAAAGCGUGGGGAGCAAACAGGAUUAGAUACCCUGGUAGUCCACGCCGUAAACGAUGGGCACUAGGCGUUGGGAGGAUUGACCCUCUCAGUGCCGUAGCUAACGCGUUAAGUGCCCCCCGCCUGGGGAGUACGGCCGCAAGGCUG